GACCGGGGAGAAGUGCGCGGAACCGGUCGGAACCAUCUGUGGUCUAGGCAGGGCAUGAGGAAUGUACCAUCUGAGGCCCCGGCCGCGCAGGGCGUCAGGCGCAGACUGUCCACGCGCGGUUAGACGCUCUUUGGGUGCAGACUCCCGCCCUUCCCGCCGCCUUGCUGCCGGAGUUCUGCCGCCCAGGACAACAGUGGGUCUCUCAUGGAGUGCAGAAGAGGAAACCAGCACUUCCUGCAUCGUAAGGCCUCUGAGCUGAGAAGAAUGAAGAGCAGUGGGGCUCUGAGGACCCUCAGUUCUCCAUUCCCAAGCCUCACAUYUUCUCAAGAAAGCARUUCCCACAAUGAAGUCCUAAAGAGAUCAGGUGCAAGAGGCCAGAGGUCCAGUCUCAAGAUGUGCCACAUUCCCUAGAGACUGUGAGGCAGAAUUUGGCAUUGCCCAGCUUCUGGUAGCUUGUUGACCAUCUCUGAUGUCCCUUGGUUUGUAGAAGUAUCACCACAAUCUUACCCUGUGCGGUCACACAGUCCUCUCCCUGCACCUGUGUCUGUGUGUCCCAUAAAUGUGUAUCAAUUUUUGUCAUGUUGGAUUAGAGCCCAACCUAAAACCUCAUUUUAACUUGGUAAAGUUAAAAAUCUACAGGUGAGGACACAUUCUCAGGUACCAUGGAUUAGGACAUCAACCUAUGAAUUUGGGGGGGACAUAAUUUGUGAAAUUGUGAUUCAUAGUAAAAAAUAUACACUUUGAUCUUUGUCUUUGGUGACUGGCACCRAACUCCUUAAAAUCCUUGCUGUUUCCUGAGCAAUAGGGGUGCUGGUAACAU